rnacentral:rRNA from 1 species
CCUACGGGGGGCUGCAGUGGGGAAUAUUGGGCAAUGGGCGCAAGCCUGACCCAGCAACGCCGCGUGAAGGAAGAAGGCUUUCGGGUUGUAAACUUCUUUUCUGGGGGACGAACAAAUGACGGUACCCCAGGAAUAAGCCACGGCUAACUACGUGCCAGCAGCCGCGGUAAUACGUAGGUGGCAAGCGUUAUCCGGAUUUAUUGGGGUUAAAGGGCGUGUAGGCGGGAAUGCAAGUCAGAUGUGAAAACUCAGGGCUACACCCUGAGCCUGCAGUUGAAACUGUGUUUCUUGAGUGCUGGAGAGGCAAUCGGAAUUCCGGGUGUAGCGGUGAAAUGCGUAGAUAUAAGGAGGAACACCAGUGGCGAAGGCGACUAUCUGGCACAUAACUGACGCUGAGGAGCGAAAGCGUGGGUAGCAAACAGGAUUAGAUACCCCUGUAGUC